CCUACGGGAGGCUGCAGUGAGGCAUAUUGGUCAAUGGACGAGAGUCUGAACCAGCCAAGUAGCGUGAAGGAUGACUGCCCUAUGGGUUGUAAACUUCUUUUAUAUGGGAAUAAAACGUUCCACGUGUGGGAUUUUGUAUGUACCAUAUGAAUAAGGAUCGGCUAACUCCGUGCCAGCAGCCGCGGUAAUCCGGAGGAUCCGAGCGUUAUCCGGAUUUAUUGGGUUUAAAGGGAGCGUAGGUGGAUUGUUAAGUCAGUUGUGAAAGUUUGCGGCUCAACCGUAAAAUUGCAUUUGAAACUGGCAGUCUUGAGUAUAGUAGAGGUGGGCGGAAUUCGUGGUGUAGCGGUGAAAUGCUUAGAUAUCACGAAGAACUCCGAUUGCGAAGGCAGUUCACUGGACUGCAACUGACACUGAGGCUCGAAAGUGUGGGUAUCAAACAGGAUUAGAUACCCUAGUAGUC
rnacentral:rRNA from 1 species